rnacentral:piRNA from 1 species
GCUUCUUCUCUGUCCUGA